GACGAACGCUGGCGGCGUGCCUAACACAUGCAAGUCGAACGGGGUCCAUCCAGUGGCAACACUGGUGAAGACCUAGUGGCGAACGGGUGAGUAACACGUGAGGAACCUGCCCCGGUCUCUGGAAUAACAGGUGGAAACACCUGCUAAUGCCGGAUGCCUUCACCGAGUCGCAUGGCCUUGGUGAAGAAAGGGUUACCGGAUCGGGAGGGUCUCGCGGUCUAUCAGCUUGUUGGUGGGGUAAAGGCCUACCAAGGCUCCGACGGAUAGCUGGUCUGAGAGGACGAUCAGCCACACUGGGACUGAGACACGGCCCAGACUCCUACGGGAGGCAGCAGUGGGGAAUCUUGCGCAAUGGGCGAAAGCCUGACGCAGCAACGCCGCGUGGGGGAUGAAGGCCCUCGGGUUGUAAACCCCUUUCAGCAGGAACGAAACUGACGGUACCUGCAGAAGAAGGUCCGGCUAACUACGUGCCAGCAGCCGCCGUAAAAC
rnacentral:rRNA from 1 species